AGGAUGAACGCUGGCGGCGUGCCUAAAACAUGCAAGUCAUACGGGCUACCUUCGGGUAGCCAGUGGCAAACGGGUGAGUAACACGUGGGAACGCGCCUUGGGGUGGGGAAUAACGCUGAGAAAUCAGUGCUAAUACCGCAUACGGUCUAACGACUAAAGCAGCAAUGCGCCCCGAGAGCGGCCCGCGACCGAUUAGCUAGUUGGUGGGGUAAUGGCCUACCAAGGCGGUGAUCGGUAGC
rnacentral:rRNA from 1 species